rnacentral:rRNA from 1 species
ACCCGAAACCCGGUGAUCUAGCCAUGGGCAGGUUGAAGGUUGGGUAACACUAACUGGAGGACCGAACCGACUAAUGUUGAAAAAUUAGCGGAUGACUUGUGGCUGGGGGUGAAAGGCCAAUCAAACCGGGAGAUAGCUGGUUCUCCCCGAAAGCUAUUUAGGUAGCGCCUCGUGAAUUCAUCUCCGGGGGUAGAGCACUGUUUCGGCAAGGGGGUCAUCCCGACUUACCAACCCGAUGCAAACUGCGAAUACCGGAGAAUGUUAUCACGGGAGACACACGGCGGGUGCUAACGUCCGUCGUGAAGAGGGAAACAACCCAGACCGCCAGCUAAGGUCCCAAAGUCAUGGUUAAGUGGGAAACGAUGUGGGAAGGCCCAGACAGCCAGGAUGUUGGCUUAGAAGCAGCCAUCAUUUAAAGAAAGCGUAAUAGCUCACUGGUCGAGUCGGCCUGCGCGGAAGAUGUAACGGGGCUAAACCAUGCACCGAAGCUGCGGCAGCGACGCUGAUGCGUUGUUGGGUAGGGGAGCGUUCUGUAAGCCUGUGAAGGUGUGCUGUGAGGUAUGCUGGAGGUAUCAGAAGUGCGAAUGCUGACAUAAGUAACGAUAAAGCGGGUGAAAAGCCCGCUCGCCGGAAGACCAAGGGUUCCUGUCCAACGUUAAUCGGGGCAGGGUGAGUCGACCCCUAAGGCGAGGCCGAAAGGCGUAGUCGAUGGGAAACAGGUUAAUAUUCCUGUACUUGGUGUUACUGCGAAGGGGGGACGGAGAAGGCUAUGUUGGCCGGGCGACGGUUGUCCCGGUUUAAGCGUGUAGGCUGGUUUUCCAGGCAAAUCCGGAAAACUAAGGCUGAGGCGUGAUGACGAGGCACUACGGUGCUGAAGCAACAAAUGCCCUGCUUCCAGGAAAAGCCUCUAAGCAUCAGGUAACAUCAAAUCGUACCCCAAACCGACACAGGUGGUCAGGUAGAGAAUACCAAGGCGCUUGAGAGAACUCGGGUGAAGGAACUAGGCAAAAUGGUGCCGUAACUUCGGGAGAAGGCACGCUGAUAUGUAGGUGAAGUCCCUCGCGGAUGGAGCUGAAAUCAGUCGAAGAUACCAGCUGGCUGCAACUGUUUAUUAAAAACACAGCACUGUGCAAACACGAAAGUGGACGUAUACGGUGUGACGCCUGCCCGGUGCCGGAAGGUUAAUUGAUGGGGUCAGCGCAAGCGAAGCUCUUGAUCGAAGCCCCGGUAAACGGCGGCCGUAACUAUAACGGUCCUAAGGUAGCGAAAUUCCUUGUCGGGUAAGUUCCGACCUGCACGAAUGGCGUAAUGAUGGCCAGGCUGUCUCCACCCGAGACUCAGUGAAAUUGAACUCGCUGUGAAGAUGCAGUGUACCCGCGGCAAGACGGAAAGACCCCGUGAACCUUUACUAUAGCUUGACACUGAACAUUGAGCCUUGAUGUGUAGGAUAGGUGGGAGGCUUUGAAGUGUGGACGCCAGUCUGCAUGGAGCCGACCUUGAAAUACCACCCUUUAAUGUUUGAUGUUCUAACGUUGACCCGUAAUCCGGGUUGCGGACAGUGUCUGGUGGGUAGUUUGACUGGGGCGGUCUCCUCCUAAAGAGUAACGGAGGAGCACGAAGGUUGGCUAAUCCUGGUCGGACAUCAGGAGGUUAGUGCAAUGGCAUAAGCCAGCUUGACUGCGAGCGUGACGGCGCGAGCAGGUGCGAAAGCAGGUCAUAGUGAUCCGGUGGUUCUGAAUGGAAGGGCCAUCGCUCAACGGAUAAAAGGUACUCCGGGGAUAACAGGCUGAUACCGCCCAAGAGUUCAUAUCGACGGCGGUGUUUGGCACCUCGAUGUCGGCUCAUCACAUCCUGGGGCUGAAGUAGGUCCCAAGGGUAUGGCUGUUCGCCAUUUAAAGUGGUACGCGAGCUGGGUUUAGAACGUCGUGAGACAGUUCGGUCCCUAUCUGCCGUGGGCGCUGGAGAACUGAGGGGGGCUGCUCCUAGUACGAGAGGACCGGAGUGGACGCAUCACUGGUGUUCGGGUUGUCAUGCCAAUGGCACUGCCCGGUAGCUAAAUGCGGAAGAGAUAAGUGCUGAAAGCAUCUAAGCACGAAACUUGCCCCGAGAUGAGUUCUCCCUGACUCCUUGAGAGUCCUGAAGGAACGUUGAAGACGACGACGUUGAUAGGCCGGGUGUGUAAGCGCAGCGAUGCGUUGAGCUAACCGGUACUAAUGAACCGUGAGGCUUAACCUUACAACGCCGAAGGUGUUU